GACGAACGCUGGCGGCGUGCCUAAUACAUGCAAGUCGAACGCUGAAGGAGGAGCUUGCUUCUCUGGAUGAGUUGCGAACGGGUGAGUAACGCGUAGGUAACCUACCUGGUAGCGGGGGAUAACUAUUGGAAACGAUAGCUAAUACCGCAUAAGAGUAGAUGUCGCAUGACAUUUGCUUAAAAGGUGCAAUUGCAUCACUACCAGAUGGACCUGCGUUGUAUUAGCUAGUUGGUGAGGUAACGGCUCACCAAGGCAACGAUACAUAGCCGACCUGAGAGGGUGAUCGGCCACACUGGGACUGAGACACGGCCCAGACUCCUACGGGAGGCAGCAGUAGGGAAGCUUCGGCAAUGGACGGAAGUCUGACCGAGCAACGCCGCGUGAGUGAAGAAGGUUUUCGGAUCGUAAAGCUCUGUUGUAAGAGAAGAACGAGUGUGAGAGUGGAAAGUUCACACUGUGACGGUAUCUUACCAGAAAGGGACGGCUAACUACGUG
rnacentral:rRNA from 1 species